rnacentral:hammerhead_ribozyme from 1 species
AUCCAGCUGAUGAGUCCCAAAUAGGAUGAAACGCCUGUCAAAUGGGAU